GCCUGUGUGUGUCCAUAGUUCCCCGGAGGCUGCCAGGUGAGGUCAGCGCGUUGCUGUCGGACCAAAGGAAACACAAACACAGAAACAUCUGAAGAAUUUACAGUAA